AGAGUUUGAUCCUGGCUCAGGAUGAACGCUAGCUACAGGCUUAACACAUGCAAGUCGAGGGGAAACGAUAUUGGAAGCUUGCUUCCGAUAGGCGUCGACCGGCGUACGGGUGAGUAACGCGUAUCCAACCUGCCCACCACUUGGGGAUAACCUUGCGAAAGUAAGACUAAUACCCAAUGACGUCUCUAGAAGACAUCUGAAAGAGAUUAAAGAUUUAUCGGUGAUGGAUGGGGAGUGCGUCUGAUUAGCUUGUUGGCGGGGUAACGGGCCCACCAAGGCGACGAUCAGUAGGGGUUCGUGAGAGGAAGGCCCCUCCACAUUGGAACUGAGACACGGUCCAAACUCCUACGGGAGGCAGCA
rnacentral:rRNA from 1 species